AAGUCGUAACAAGGUUUCCGUAGGUGAACCUGCGGAAGGAUCAUUAAAAAUAUUACUUAUACACCGUCUUAUUUUAAACAAAAACUUUUGAUUAAUUUCUACCUUUUAAUUUUAUUAAAACUUUCAACAACGGAUCUCUUGGUUCUC
rnacentral:misc_RNA from 1 species